AACCAGGAACCAUGCGAUCUCGUGCCGCCUAACUCCGCCAGGUUUGGAAGGAAGCAACGGUAAGCGGAUUUGAGGUGCGCCGUGGCUGCCCUGGUUACG
rnacentral:SRP_RNA from 1 species